UACGUAGGGUGCGAGCGUUAAUCGGAAUUACUGGGCGUAAAGCGUGCGCAGGCGGUCUGUUAAGACCGAUGUGAAAGCCCCGGGCUCAACCUGGGAAUGGCCGUUGAAACUGGCGAACUGGAGUGUGGCAGAGGGGGGUGGAAUUCCGCGUGUAGCAGUGAAAUGCGUAGAGAUGCGGAGGAACACCGAUGGCGAAGGCAGCCCCCUGGGCUAACACUGACGCUCAUGCACGAAAGCGUGGGGAGCAAACAGG
rnacentral:rRNA from 1 species